rnacentral:lncRNA from 1 species
UAGGAUUUCAUGAAAUCAUAACCCGGAACCAGCUGUCAUAAUCUAGAGCAAAAACAAAAAACAAAGAAGGAUUUGGGGAAGAUCCUAUUCUUCCCUGUAUUUCAAUCAUACACCCGCCGUUGACAGCACUCGCCAACGUCAUUGCUACUUACCGAUCAACAGGUCCCGCCGCCGUUGGAGCAAGCAAGGAUCUCACCUUUCCGGCCGAAAUCUGAAAUGAAAUCCCAUCUCUUUCAUCGAAUAUUUUCAGGGCAGC